UUUCCCUCUUUCCCUGGCCAUGGCCAGUGUGUCUCAUACAUUCCUCCACCUCUUGCCAAGAACAAGCAGGGUUCCUCAAGGCUGCUGUAAGUCAGGGAUGGCUGGGCUCUCCUGAACUUGGCUAACAAAAGAGGCUCCCAGCUCCGGCAUUUGCUCCUCCCAAGCCUCUGUCCAUGGGCAGCCCUGACACUGGAGUCACCCUGGUGCUGGAGACCUCGUUGUCUCCUUUCUUUCCUCCUUUCGUCUCUUUUCCCAUUUUAUUCUGUGGAAACUGCCGUUGGAUGAGGUUGGACAUACUUCUGCUGCAAAUCUUCUAUAAUGCAGAAUACGCCAGAUCCAUCUCCCAGGAGUUCUGCAAGAUUAAUGAAUAGAGCUUCAUAACUUAUUUUCUUCUGAACCAGAAAAUAAAUCAUCUGACUAUAAGAUCUUGUUCGUCCUUCUGAAUUUGCGAUUCUACUUCUGCAUUUGAAGCUCUUCUCCGCCUGCAUUCGAAGCAUCAGAGAAAUGUGACCUUAAACUGUCUUUUCCAGAAGUUUGAAGCCUCAUGCUUGAGCUGCGUGUGGAACAGAGAGCAUCUGGUGACGCAUGGACAUGCUGUAAUAAAGGUGCCCAGGUUCCUUCUGCGGGCACGUGUCUAGACACAAAGCAGAGUACACACCAUCAUGACUGCCCAGGUUGCUGGAGUAAACUGUUACUUUUCUGGCACCUACACACUGAGGCAGGAUGUGGAUGGGCAGCCAGCCAUGCCAGCAGAUGGGCAUAUGGAAGGUGGCCAAGGAAGCCUGUGUGUGCAUCCAGCAUAGGUGUUCAGAACAGGAGUUCCAGCUGAGAAUAUCAGAGCCUGACUCCAGCUUAGGCUAACGGCCUGUCAGCUCCUGCCUUGUUUCCUAUGGAUAGAAUGGGAUUCCACGGAAUUGACAGAUUUCAACAGAAUCUUAAAUUUAUCUUUUUGUUUUAAAAAAGAUAAUGUAAAGUAGAUAUUUUGUAUCAAAUACUUUGAUGGUGUCAUUUGAGUAGAAACAUGUUUCAAUAGUUCUGCACUGCUCUCUGACUGUGAAACCCUGGCUUAAAGAGACAGAAAGGGGGCCUUUGGCAGCUUAGCAUUGUUCUCAUUUCUUAU